rnacentral:rRNA from 1 species
CCUACGGGAGGCAGCAGUGAGGAAUAUUGGUCAAUGGACGAGAGUCUGAACCAGCCAAGUAGCGUGAAGGAUGACUGCCCUAUGGGUUGUAAACUUCUUUUAUAUGGGAAUAAAAUGUUCCACGUGUGGGAUUUUGUAUGUACCAUAUGAAUAAGGAUCGGCUAACUCCGUGCCAGCAGCCGCGGUAAUACGGAGGAUCCGAGCGUUAUCCGGAUUUAUUGGGUUUAAAGGGAGCGUAGGUGGAUUGUUAAGUCAGUUGUGAAAGUUUGCGGCGCAACCGUAAAAGUGCAGUUGAAACUGGCAGUCUUGAGUACAGGAGAGGUGGGCGGAAUUCGUGGUGUAGCGGUGAAAUGCUUAGAUAUCACGAAGAACUCCGAUUGCGAAGGCAGCUCACUGGACUGCAACUGACACUGAGGCUCGAAAGUGUGGGUAUCGAACAGGAUUAGAUACCCCAGUAGUC